AAAGUCGUAACAAGGUUUCCGUAGGUGAACCUGCGGAAGGAUCAUUACCAAUAAGGCUACCUGGACCCAAAGUCCAUGGUAACAUUAAAACACUUGUAUACCUAUCCCACUUCUUCCGUGGAUGUGUAAAAGCAUCCACGGACAUUACUAUAAUAUUCUUUUGUAUAUAUUCAUGUCUGAUAAUACUUUAAAUAAGUUAAAACUUUCAACAACGGAUCUCUUGGUUCUC
rnacentral:misc_RNA from 1 species